AACGAACGCUGGCGGCAGGCCUAACACAUGCAAGUCGAACGAGAUCUUCGGAUCUAGUGGCGGACGGGUGAGUAACGCGUGGGAACGUGCCCUUCUCUACGGAAUAGUCCUAGGGAAACUGGGUUUAAUACCGUAUACGCCCUUACGGGGGAAAGAAUUUCGGGGAAGAUCGGCCCGCGUUGGAUUAGGUAGUUGGUGGGGUAAUGGCCUACCAAGCCGACGAUCCAUAGCUGGUUUGAGAGGAUGAUCAGCCACACUGGGACUGAGACACGGCCCAGACUCCUACGGGAGGCAGCAGUGGGGAAUCUUAGACAAUGGGGGCAACCCUGAUCUAGCCAUGCCGCGUGAACGAUGAAGGCCUUAGGGUGUAAAGUUCUUUCAACGGU
rnacentral:rRNA from 1 species